CUCCAGACUCCUACGGGAGGCAGCAGUGGGGAAUAUUGCACAAUGGGGGAAACCCUGAUGCAGCGACGCCGCGUGAGCGAUGAAGUAUUUCGGUAUGUAAAGCUCUAUCAGCAGGGAAGAAGAUGACGGUACCUGACUAAGAAGCCCCGGCUAACUACGUGCCAGCAGCCGCGGUAAUACGUAGGGGGCAAGCGUUAUCCGGAUUUACUGGGUGUAAAGGGAGCGUAGACGGCGAUGCAAGCCAGAUGUGAAAGCCCGGGGCUCAACCCCGGGACUGCAUUUGGAACUGUGUGGCUGGAGUGUCGGAGAGGCAGGCGGAAUUCCUAGUGUAGCGGUGAAAUGCGUAGAUAUUAGGAGGAACACCAGUGGCGAAGGCGGCCUGCUGGACGAUGACUGACGUUGAGGCUCGAAAGCGUGGGGAGCAAACAGGAUUAGAUACCCCAGUAACU
rnacentral:rRNA from 1 species